GUCAGAGCCUAGUCAGUGGCCAACCCAACAGCAUUGGAAAUCAGAUUCAAGGAGUGGUCAUCCCCUAUACUUCAGUGCCAACAUAUCAGGUUUCACUGCCUCAAGGUUCUCAAGGAAUUCCCCAUCAGACUUAUCAACAGCCUGUUAUGUUCCCUAAUCAGUCUAAUCAAGGAUCUAUGCCCACAACAGGAAUGCCUGUUUACUAUAGUGUCAUUCCACCUGGUCAACAAAACAAUUUAAGAUCUGCUAAUACGCUGCUUGAUGAUGGCUGGUUCAUCCUAAUGCGCUGGUCAGAAUAUGCCCCAUCUCAAGAUCAGUCAUUCUCCAGGAGCAUCAGAGACAUCUUUGUGGUGAAUUGUGUUUAUGAUACCUACCCUCCAAUUUCUCAAGCCGAAGGCAUCUUUUCC
rnacentral:lncRNA from 10 species